rnacentral:misc_RNA from 1 species
AAAGCCGCAUCCUCCGCUGUCUCGAAUGUGCCUAACCAAACCCGAGCCCCUUUUUUUGCCGGGUCUCGAAUCUCCGCUGCGAAUUUACCCCACGGCCGCCGCCUGACUCCCCUGUAAUGCUUCCCCUUCGCAGGGGCCGCUGCGGGAGUAGUAGUAACAGCAGCAUCAGCAUCUUGAGACUCAAUCGUCUCAGGAGGCAGUACAGUGGUCGCCGGAGUAGCAACACUCUCCUGCAACAACGCGAAAUUCUCCUGGGGUUCCAACUUCACCGGAGGGAAAUCCGGUUGCAGCUCAUUCUUGAGGCAAGGGACCCAGCCAACAGUGAGAGCGUCGCGGAGGACGCCGUAAAGCACCAUAUCUUCAGAAUCAUCGACUUUGAGUGGCAAAUCGCCCCAAGUUUCCGUUAAAC